GAGUGCGAUCAUACCAGUACUAAUGCAUCAGAUCGAAUCAGAACUCCGCAGUUAAGCGUGCUUGGAGGCCGAGAGUAGUACUAGGAUGGAUGACUAUCUAGGAAGUCCUCGUGUUGCACCUC
rnacentral:rRNA from 1 species